AUUGAACGCUGGCGGCAGGCCUAACACAUGCAAGUCGAACGGUAACAGGAAGCAGCUUGCUGCUUCGCUGACGAGUGGCGGACGGGUGAGUAAUGUCUGGGAAACUGCCUGAUGGAGGGGGAUAACUACUGGAAACGGUAGCUAAUACCGCAUAACGUCGCAAGACCAAAGAGGGGGACCUUAGGGCCUCUUGCCAUCGGAUGUGCCCAGAUGGGAUUAGCUAGUAGGUCGGGUAACGGCUCACCUAGGCGACGAUCCCUAGCUGGUCUGAGAGGAUGACCAGCCACACUGGAACUGAGACACGGUCCAGACUCCUACGGGAGGCAGCAGUGGGGAAUAUUGCACAAUGGGCGCAAGCCUGAUGCAGCCAUGCCGCGUGUAUGAAGAAGGCCUUCGGGUUGUAAAGUACUUUCAGCGGGGAGGAAGGGAGUAAAGUUAAUACCUUUGCUCAUUGACGUUACCCGCAGAAGAAGCACCGGCUAACUCCGUG
rnacentral:rRNA from 1 species